rnacentral:rRNA from 1 species
UACAGAGGUCUCAAGCGUUGUUCGGAUUCAUUGGGCGUAAAGGGUGCGUAGGCGGCGCGGUAAGUCGGAUGUGAAAUCUUGGAGCUUAACUCCGAAACUGCAUUCGAUACUGCCGUGCUUGAGGACUGGAGAGGAGACUGGAAUUUACGGUGUAGCGGUGAAAUGCGUAGAUAUCGUAAGGAAGACCAGUAGCGAAGGCGGGUCUCUGGACAGUUCCUGACGCUGAGACACGAAGGUCAGGGGAGCAAACGGG